rnacentral:pre_miRNA from 1 species
AGAGGGAUAGCUGGGUCAAAUGAUGGUUCCAUUCCCAGAUUUCCAGGGAAUCUCCAUACUGCUUUCCAGAUUGGCUGCACCAAUUUGCAGUCCCACCAGCAAU